CCUACGGGUGGCAGCAGUGAGGAAUAUUGGUCAAUGGACGAGAGUCUGAACCAGCCAAGUAGCGUGAAGGAUGACUGCCCUAUGGGUUGUAAACUUCUUUUAUAUGGGAAUAAAACGUUCCACGUGUGGGAUUUUGUAUGUACCAUAUGAAUAAGGAUCGGCUAACUCCGUGCCAGCAGCCGCGGUAAUACGGAGGAUCCGAGCGUUAUCCGGAGUUAUUGGGUUUAAAGGGAGCGUAGGUGGAUUGUUAAGUCAGUUGUGAAAGUUUGCGGCUCAACCGUAAAAUUGCAGUUGAAACUGGCAGUCUUGAGUACAGUAGAGGUGGGCGGAAUUCGUGGUGUAGCGGUGAAAUGCUUAGAUAUCACGAAGAACUCCGAUUGCGAAGGCAGUUCACUGGACUGCAACUGACACUGAGGCUCGAAAGUGUGGGUAUCAAACAGGAUUAGAUACCCUAGUAGUC
rnacentral:rRNA from 1 species